rnacentral:rRNA from 1 species
GACGAACGCUGGCGGCGUGCUUAACACAUGCAAGUCGAACGGAAAGGCCCUGCUUGCAGGGUGCUCGAGUGGCGAACGGGUGAGUAACACGUGGGUGAUCUGCCCCUUACUUUGGGAUAAGCCUGGGAAACUGGGUCUAAUACUGGAUAGGACCAUGCUGUAGGUGGUGUGGUGGAAAGAUUAGUUUCGGUAAGGGAUGAGCUCGCGGCCUAUCAGCUUGUUGGUGGGGUAAUGGCCUACCAAGGCGUCGACGGGUAGCCGGCCUGAGAGGGUGGACGGCCACAUUGGGACUGAGAUACGGCCCAGACUCCUACGGGAGGCAGCAGUGGGGCAUAUUGCACAAUGGGCGCAAGCCUGAUGCCGCGACGCCGCGUGGGGGAUGACGGCCUUCGGGUUGUAAACUCCUUUCAGCCAUGACGAAGCCCUUGUGGUGACGGUAGUGGUAGAAGAAGCCCCGGCUAACUACGUG